rnacentral:ncRNA from 1 species
AAUUCCGGAGAAGCUCGCGUUUUUAAGCGAGUGCCGAAGGUGCAAGACUUCCGAGUCAAUCUCUCAGGCAAAAGGACGGUUUU